AGUGAACGCUGGCGGUAGGCCUAACACAUGCAAGUCGAACGGCAGCACAGUAAGGGCUUGCUCUUACGGGUGGCGAGUGGCGGACGGGUGAGGAAUACAUCGGAAUCUACUUUUUCGUGGGGGAUAACGUAGGGAAACUUACGCUAAUACCGCAUACGGCCUACGGGUGAAAGCAGGGGAUCUUCGGACCUUGCGCGAUUGAAUGAGCCGAUGUCGGAUUAGCUAGUUGGCGGGGUAAAGGCCCACCAAGGCGACGAUCCGUAGCUGGUCUGAGAGGAUGGAUCGCCAGAUGGGAACUGAGGAACGGCCCCGACUCCUACGGGAGGAAGCAGUGGGGAAUAUUGGGCGAUGGGCGAAAGCCUGAUCCAGCCAUACCGCGUGGGUGAAGAAGGCCUUCGGGUUGGAAAGCCCUUUUGUUGGGAAAGAAAAGCAGCAGGUUAAUACCCCGCUGUUCUGACGGUACCCAAAGAAUAAGCACCGGCUAACUUCGUG
rnacentral:rRNA from 1 species